AGUAAUGAAUGCAUUAUUAAGGAGUUUAUCAAGACUCUCCAUUUCCCAGUGUGGAAUGAAUGGUGAAGCUAGAUAGACCGAUUUAACCAGCUCCAUCCUGCCUGCCUACGAAAGAAACCGCGCCUUCCAAUUCCAAUUCUUUUGAAAGACUUUUCAAGUAGGGGAAUAGAGUCGGAAUAUUGGAUCCUGCUUUCAAUCAGUGGCAGUCCAAAAUCUUUGAUAGGCAGCUGAACUUCUUGAAACCAAUUGAUCUAUAACACGCCUCUCUUAAUUCCGGCUCCCGAGGCGGAAAACGUGAUGGAACAUUUGGCCCUGUUGAUCGAGUUCAACGAUCUGGCAUUUAUAAUAGAGCAAUCCGCGAACACCAGCACAUCGUCCGCAUAGCAGAUAUGGGAGACUUGCGGGUCCUGUGGUCUUG
rnacentral:lncRNA from 1 species